CAGCCGCCACGGUAACACGGAGGAUCCGAGCGUUAUCCGGAAUUAUUGGGUUUAAAGGGUGCGUAGGCGGAUAGAUAAGUCAGUGGUGAAACACGGUGGCUCAACCAUCGCAGUGCCGUUGAUACUGUUUAUCUUGAAUAUGGAUGAGGUAGGCGGAAUGUGACAAGUAGCGGUGAAAUGCAUAGAUAUGUCUCAGAUCACCAAUUGCGAAGGCAGCUUACUAAGGUAUGAUUGACGCUGAUGCACGAAAGCGUGGGGAUCAAACAGGAUUAGAGACCCCUGUAGUCCCUGUCUCUUAUAC
rnacentral:rRNA from 1 species